rnacentral:rRNA from 1 species
GACGAACGCUGGCGGCGUGCUUAACACAUGCAAGUCGAACGGAAAGGCCCUGCUUUUGUGGGUUGCCCGAGUGGCAAACGGGUGAGUAACCCUUGGUUACCUUGCCCUUGCCUUUGGGAUACCUUCAGGAAACUGGGGCUAUUACCGGAUAGGAGCUCUUGCGGCUUGGUGGGGGUUGGAAGGUUUCGGCGGUUGGGGAUGGACUCGCGGCUUAUCAGCUUGUUGGUGGGGUAGUGGCUUACCAAGGCUUUGACGGGUAGCCGGCCUGAGAGGGUGACCGGCCACAUUGGGACUGAGAUACGGCCCAGACUCCUACGGGAGGCAGCAGUGGGGAAUAUUGCACAAUGGGCGGAAGCCUGAUGCAGCAACGCCGCGUGCGGGAUGACGGCCUUCGGGUUGUAAACCGCUUUCGCCUGUGACGAAGCGUGAGUGACGGUAAUGGGUAAAGAAGCACCGGCUAACUACGUG